rnacentral:rRNA from 1 species
UACGUAGGGUGCAAGCGUUAAUCGGAAUUACUGGGCGUAAAGCGUGCGCAGGCGGUUGUGCAAGACAGAGGUGAAAUCCCCGGGCCUUAACCUGGGAAUGGCCUUUUGUGACUGCACGGCUAGAGUGUGUCAGAGGGGGGUAGGAAUUCCACGUGUAGCAGUGAAAUGCGUAGAGAUGUGGAGGAAUACCGAUGGCGAAGGCAGCCCCCUGGGAUAACACUGACGCUCAGGCACGAAAGCGUGGGGAGCAAACAGG